GGAUGGGUAGCGUAGUGGUAAAGCGUUCCCUGAGCGUAUUCAGCGUUGAUUUGAUUUACCUUCAGCGUUUAGCGAAAGAUCCGGGUUCGAGUCCCGGCCCGCCCA